rnacentral:rRNA from 1 species
AACGAACGCUGGCGGCAUGCCUAACACAUGCAAGUCGAACGAGACCUUCGGGUCUAGUGGCGCACGGGUGCGUAACGCGUGGGAACCUGCCCUUAGGUUCGGAAUAACUCCCCGAAAGGGGUGCUAAUACCGGAUAAUGUCUUCGGACCAAAGAUUUAUCGCCUUUGGAUGGGCCCGCGUUGGAUUAGCUAGUUGGUAGAGUGAAAGCCUACCAAGGCGACGAUCCAUAGCUGGUCUGAGAGGAUGAUCAGCCACACUGGGACUGAGACACGGCCCAGACUCCUACGGGAGGCAGCAGUGGGGAAUAUUGGACAAUGGGCGAAAGCCUGAUCCAGCAAUGCCGCGUGAGUGAUGAAGGCCUUAGGGUUGUAAAGCUCUUUUACCCGGGAUGAUAAUGACAGUACCGGGAGAAUAAGCUCCGGCUAACUCCGUG